rnacentral:rRNA from 1 species
UCAGUCGACUCCUACGGGAGGCAGCAGUGGGGAAUCUUGGACAAUGGGCGCAAGCCUGAUCCAGCCAUGCCGCGUGAGUGAAGAAGGCCCUAGGGUCGUAAAACUCUUUCGCCAGGGAUGAUAAUGACAGUACCUGGUAAAGAAACCCCGGCUAACUCCGUGCCAGCAGCCGCGGUAAUACGGAGGGGGUUAGCGUUGUUCGGAAUUACUGGGCGUAAAGCGUACGUAGGCGGAUUAGUCAGUCAGAGGUGAAAUCCCAGGGCUCAACCCUGGAACUGCCUUUGAUACUGCUAGUCUUGAGUUCGAGAGAGGUGAGUGGAAUUCCAAGUGUAGAGGUGAAAUUCGUAGAUAUUUGGAGGAACACCAGUGGCGAAGGCGGCUCACUGGCUCGAUACUGACGCUGAGGUACGAAAGUGUGGGGAGCAAACAGGAUUAGAUACCCUGGUAG